AGUGGGACAGCUGGGUCACAUGGUGGUUCCAUUCUCAGUUUUUCAAGGAAUCUCCAUACUACUUUCCAGAUUGGCUGCAGCAAUUUGCAGUCUCACCAGCAGU
rnacentral:pre_miRNA from 1 species